ensembl:lncRNA
AAGGGAGGGAGGGAGGAAGGAAAAGCAAGUAAUGCGGGACUGGGGAGAGUCCCCUGGUGUGGGAAGGCACAGGAGUUUAUUCCUGUGGGUGCUGGGGUAAGGGAUGUGGAAUCAGACCCAACCAGGGAUUGCCCCAUUGUGCGCUGAGAAGGGAGAGUAGAACGCUACAAAGGAAGGAGAGGGUGGUGGGAGUCUCGGCCCUCCCCAGCGGGGAAUUGGAAAGGGAUUGCCGAGGAAAAGGGGCUGCCCCUCAGUGUCUCUUCCUGGAGGGGGUUGCUUGGCCCUGGGAGGGUUUUUUCCUGAGCAGGGACUAUGACUGACGGCUUCACUCACCCUUCUCCUGGCGGCUUGAGGUCCAGCUCUGCCUAUCAGGCCUGCCAGAACCUGUGACCCCAUGUCCUGGCAACGGGAUGCACUUGGAAUGACAUGGACCACUGCUUUCUCCAUUCUUCUGCUUCAAGCACCCUGAUUUCCGUGGUGGAUGAGUCACUGGCUGGCACCUAGGCUGGGAAGAUGGAUGAGCCACCCCCAUGCUGCUGACACAGUCUGAAUACAGACUUCCUGCUCUUACCUAGGUAUGAGAUCAGGAAGAGAAGAUGUGCUUCCUAAGAAAAAGUGACUGGAUUUGUUCUGGGCUUCCUGUGGGAUUCUGGGAGAAAAAUGAAAAGGCUUUGCUGCUUUAUGAGGGUACCCAGGAAGGCUCCAGCUGUGACAAAUUGCAGGGGAACCAUGAGACAUCCCCAUGGGGAGAGUCCCACGUGUCAGGAGGUGUUUGGAGGAGCUGCUGCUGGAUGGACUUCAGCUUUGUCUUGAUGUGGAGGAGAGCAGGAAUGCUGUCAAUGCCAGGCAUCAGUCUUUCUGUUGCAGACUCCAGGCAUUAUUGGUUUGGGCCCAGUUCCCCCAAGUUCUUUUCAAACCAAGUGGCUGUGCUGAGGCGACCCUGUGCACAGAGGAAAUGUGUCUAAGAGGCUAGACCAUGCUGGCAGACCUCCAAGCCCUUGUGCUGAUUUGCCCUGGUGGAGACUCCAACCCACUGUUGCUGUCUGGGAAAACCAGAUCCAUGUGUCCUUGAGAAGAGCACAUUGAAGAUCAGAGUGUGGACUGGGGAAAAAUGGGCCAGAUCUGCCCCUUCUGCUUCCCUCUGUGCUUGUGCAGGGUAGAGCAAAGCAUCGACUCAGAAGGCAGGGCGAGCCUGUGGAAAUCAGAUGCAGCACAGAGGAAGAGGAGGAAGGACAUGGGGUCUUCAGUAUCAGGAUGGAAAUGUGGAACCUCAACUUUCAAAAGUCAUCCAGUUGGGUUUAUAGUCGAACUCAUGCUGGCUGGAGAAAUAGCCCAUCAUACACAGCAACAAACACUCAAAACAAAUCAAAAAGCAUUAAAAAAUAUUGUCCUGCCUGACUGCUCCAGAUGAGUUUUGUAGUGAAUCUGAAGGUGCUUUUUUCCUGGAGUCCUGUGCUCCCAUUAUGCUGCCCACGAGCUGCAUGGGAUCAGGGCUUGGCACCAUGGGUCACCAGAGAUAGUCACCUUAAUCAGCUUAAACCAGAGCUUGACUCAGGCCUCAAACUGUGCCACCCAUCCCAAGGGAAGGUCUCUGAAACAGAGAGUGACCGCCCUGAAAAUUCCUCCUGUGGUCACUUUUGUAAAGUCCUGCUCAGCUCAGAGAAGGCUGGGGAAAGAAGUUAGUGGCAUUCUGUCUCUAAAAAGCAGAAUGUUUCUGCUGUGAUUCAUUUUGUCUCGGGUUUUGGCCUGUUUUGCUAAUUUGUGGGAAGCCAAUUCAGCAGAAUUGGUAACCGGUUGUUUGCAGAUGCCAACUUUGGGAUGGAAGGCUGUUGCCUUCCACCUGGGAGACGUGGGGGAUACUAUUACCAACACAAAUUGGGGCACAGUCAUUUCCUCCAUCAUGUCCUUGGAGAUGUGCAGAGAUGGGCCUCUUGUGUCUGUGGGGCUAGUCUGGCUGGUUUUUUAUUUGUUUCUUUGAAAGAGCAAUAAACACCUUUGGACCGCCCCA